rnacentral:rRNA from 1 species
UACAGAGGGGGCAAGCGUUGUUCGGAAUUACUGGGCGUAAAGGGCGCGUAGGCGGCCUGCUAAGUCGAACGUGAAAUCCCCGAGCUCAACUCGGGAACUGCGUCCGAUACUGACAGGCUUGAAUCCGGGAGAGGGAUGCGGAAUUCCAGGUGUAGCGGUGAAAUGCGUAGAUAUCUGGAGGAACAUCAGUGGCGAAGGCGGCUGCCUGGCCCAAUACUGACACUCAGGUGCGACAGCGUGGGGAGCAAACAGG